UACGGAGGGUGCAAGCGUUAUCCGGAUUCACUGGGUUUAAAGGGUGCGUAGGUGGGUCUGUAAGUCCGUGGUGAAAUCUCCGAGCUUAACUUGGAAACUGCCAUGGAUACUAUAGGUCUUGAAUACUGUGGAGGUCAGCGGAAUAUGUCAUGUAGCGGUGAAAUGCUUAGAUAUGACAUAGAACACCAAUUGCGAAGGCAGCUGGCUACACGAGCAUUGACACUCAGGCACGAAAGCGUGGGGAUCAAACAGG
rnacentral:rRNA from 1 species